CGGGAGGCAGAUACCUGGGCAGUCCCUGAGCAGUGCUCUGUCCGUCACUAGUCCUCCCUACAGCAUCCCUGCUCUCUGAUGACCGAGGCGAAUUGAGAGAAAUCGCCACGGACAGAUACGGAGCAGACAAUC